ensembl:piRNA 21ur-4421 ncRNA
UGAUACUUUUGCUACACUUUG